rnacentral:lncRNA from 1 species
GUGUGUGUGUGUGUGUGUGUGUAUGUACGUGUGCGUGACCGUGUGUACGUGUGCGUGUGUGUGUAUGUGAAGGCAAGACCCCAAAAAGUUAGUUAGAGUGUGCGUGCGUGUGUGUCUACGAUUGUUUUCUCUCUCUACUUUUUUUUUUCCAAUUGGAGUUGUGGGAGCAUUUCGUUUCCUCAGUCUGGUCCCCUGUCAGUGCGCCGUCCUCUUGCUCAGUGUCCACACCCGCGCUCACGACCCAGUCUCAGGAAGUACAGGCGCGUACCCAUUUUUUUUCGAUGAUGGGUGUGUCCUAGGACUCUUCUCUCUCCAGUGGGCGUGUGCUAGUUCUGUUCUCCCUCCAGUGGGCGUGUAUGGUUGAAGUACACCCGUUGGAAAAUGAGGUAUAUAACCCAAGGACCAAUUAGACCAUACAAUAAAGUGCAAUUAAGGUGUAGAUAAUCUCAACAGGACAGGCCGUUGCACCCAGACACAAGCUAAACGCAUUCAGCUCCUAGGCCUAUCACCAAUAGUUGACAUAAGCCUAUCACCAGCUACUGAGUCAGUUCACACCUUCAGCAUCACUUAUUUGACCGUAAUCGCCAGACAGCUUAAAGCAACUUUACCUCAGGGCAUCUCACGGGACUGACGCCACCUGUCAAGACUCACCUUCGGCGCGGGUAUGUACGCGGGUAUCUACGUCACCCAGAACUACGAGGUGCCGCGGGUAGACGAGCCCUCGAGGCUGUGGGAGAAGGUGAAGGAAUGGGCGGAGUCGCACAAGAAGAAG